UACGUAGGCAGCAAGCGUUGUUCGGAGUUACUGGGCGUAAAGGGUGCGUAGGUGGCUCUAUAAGUAUGGUGUGAAAUCUCCCGGCUUAACUGGGAGGGUGCGCCGUAGACUGUGGGGCUAGAGUGUGGGAGAGGAAAGUGGAAUUCCUGGUGUAGCGGUGAAAUGCGUAGAUAUCAGGAGGGAACACCGGUGGGCGAAGGCGGGUCUCUGGGCCGUAACUGACGCUGGAGGAGCGAAAAGCCAUGGGGGAGCGAACAGG
rnacentral:rRNA from 1 species